AUUGUACUCCCUCCGUUCGAAAUUACUUGUCUCGGAAAUGGAUGUAUCUAGAACUAAAAUACGUCUAGAUACAUCCAUUUCCGCGACAAGUAAUUCCGAACGGAGGGAGUACAAU
rnacentral:pre_miRNA from 1 species